GCAGCAUUUACUUCGGUAAAUGGCGACCGGCGCACGGGUGAGUAACGCGUAUGCAACCUACCUUUAACUGGGGCAUAGCUCGAGGAAACUCGAAUUAAUUCCCCAUAGUACAUUCUAUUAUCUCAUGAUAUAAAUGUUAAAGAUUUAUCGGUUAAAGAUGGGCAUGCGUCUGAUUAGUUUGUUGGUAAGGUAACGGCUUACCAAGACUACGAUCAGUAGGGGGUCUGAGAGGAUGAUCCCCCACACUGGUACUGAGACACGGACCAGACUCCUACGGGAGGCAGCAGUAAGGAAUAUUGGGCAAUGGGCGCAAGCCUGACCCAGCCAUGCCGCGUGCAGGAUGACGACCCUAUGGGUUGUAAACUGCUUUUAUAUAGGAAGAAAACACUCUUGCGAGAGAAACUGACGGUACUAUAUGAAUAAGGACCGGCUAACUCCGUGCCAGCAGCCGCGGUAAUACGGAGGGUUCAAGCGUUUUCCGGAUUUAUUGGGUUUAAAGAGUGCGUAGGUGGUUUAUUAAGUCAGUGGUGAAAUCCUGCAGCUCAACUGUAGAACUGCCAUUGAUACUGGUAAACUUGAGUUUGGUUUAGGUAAGUGGAAUUUAUGAUGUAGCGGUGAAAUGCAUAGAUAUCAUAAGGAACACCAAUAGCGAAGGCAGCUUACUGGACCACAACUGACACUGAGGCACGAAAGCGUGGGUAGCGAACAGGAUUAGAUACCCUGGUAGUCCACGCCGUAAACGAUGCUCACUCGAUGUUAGCGAUAUACUGUUAGCGUCCAAGCUAAAGCG
rnacentral:rRNA from 1 species